AUUGAACGCUGGCGGAAUGCUUUACACAUGCAAGUCGAACGGCAGCACGGACUUCGGUCUGGUGGCGAGUGGCGAACGGGUGAGUAAUGUAUCGGAACGUGCCCAGUCGUGGGGGAUAACGUAGUGAAAAUUACGCUAAUACCGCAUACGAUCUAUGGAUGAAAGCGGGGGAUCGCAAGACCUCUCGCGAUUGGAGCGGCCGAUAUCAGAUUAGGUAGUUGGUGGGGUAAAGGCCCACCAAGCCAACGACCUGUAGCUGGUCUGAGAGGACGACCAGCCACACUGGAACUGAGACACGGUCCAGACUCCUACGGGAGGCAGCAGUGGGGAAUUUUGGACAAUGGGCGAAAGCCUGAUCCAGCCAUUCCGCGUGCAGGAUGAAGGCCCUCGGGUUGUAAACUGCUUUUGUACAGAACGAAAAGGUUUCUACUAAUACUAGGAGCUCAUGACGGUACUGUAAGAAUAAGCACCGGCUAACUACGUGCCAGCAGCCGCCGUAA
rnacentral:rRNA from 1 species